rnacentral:rRNA from 1 species
GACGAACGCUGGCGGCGUGCCUAAUACAUGCAAGUCGAACGCAGUGGGGACGGGGGAGUAAAACGUGGGUAACCUCCCAUCAGAGGGGAUAACACUUGGAAACAGGGGCUAAACCGAUACUGAUGGAUGGACUAGCGGUGCAUUAGCUAGUUGGUGGGGUAACGCCUCACCAAGGCCACGAUGCAUAGCCGACCUGAGAGGGUGAUCGGCCACACUGGGACUGAGACACGGCCCAGACUCCUACGGGAGGCAGCAGUAGGGAAUCUUCGGCAAGGAGCGAAAGUCUGACCGAGCAACGCCGCGUGAGUGAAUAAGGUUUUCGGAUCGUAAAACUCUGUUGUUAGAGAAGCGGUAUCUAACCAGAAAGCCACGGCUAACUACGUGCCAGCAGCCGCGGUAAUAC